rnacentral:rRNA from 1 species
UCCAGACUCCUACGGGAGGCAGCAGUGGGGAAUAUUGCACAAUGGGGGAAACCCUGAUGCAGCGACGCCGCGUGAGCGAAGAAGUAUUUCGGUAUGUAAAGCUCUAUCAGCAGGGAAGAAAAAAAUGACGGUACCUGAGUAAGAAGCACCGGCUAAAUACGUGCCAGCAGCCGCGGUAAUACGUAUGGUGCAAGCGUUAUCCGGAUUUACUGGGUGUAAAGGGAGCGUAGGCGGCGCGUUAAGUCUGAUGUGAAAACCCGAGGCUCAACCACGGGAGUGCAUUGGAAACUGGCGGGCUGGAGUGCCGGAGAGGUAAGCGGAAUUCCUAGUGUAGCGGUGAAAUGCGUAGAUAUUAGGAGGAACACCAGUGGCGAAGGCGGCUUACUGGACGGCAACUGACGCUGAGGCUCGAAAGCGUGGGGAGCAAACAGGAUUAGAUACCCUAGUAGA